GUGUUCUCAAAAAGGUUGCAGAGAUCAGAGAUGUUGAUCGCAGACUGAGAACACUAGAAUCAGAUAUGGAGUUCUGUACAUCUUCUCUUCUGUGGAUAAUGGAAUCUCUGUCUCAAAGCAGUGUAGUGAAGCCCAGCAAAGUGCACCCUUCUCGCAAAGCCGUAAUUUCAGCCUCCCUUGAGAAAUAAGAAAUAGCCUUCUUUCCUGUAUUCAUCUGCUGUCCCCUGCUCUCACGGACACAUAAACCAAGAAGGCACAGAGAGCCAGUGAAGGUGUUGAAUUUAUUGUUCUGCUUUCCAUAUUUAAAUCGGUCAUCCUGGCCUUUUUAAUGGUUCAUCCUGCUCUUGACAGUUUAGUACACCCAGGUGACCUGUCCUCUUUUCCAUGUGAAUGGGGAAGUGCACAGAAUUAAGAGGACAUACUGCACACUCAAAGGUCAACAAUGCCACGUUACAGUCAUAGAUCAAAUGAACAUGUUCUUAAAAGCAUAUUGUUGGUAGGUUUACAUCUUUUUAAAGUCAGAGUACUAUUAUGUA